AUUGAACGCUGGCGGCAUGCUUUACACAUGCAAGUCGAACGGUAACAGGGAGCUUGCUCCGCUGACGAGUGGCGAACGGGUGAGUAAUGCGUCGGAACGUGCCGAGUAGUGGGGGAUAACGCAUCGAAAGGUGUGCUAAUACCGCAUACGAACUGAGGUUGAAAGUGGGGGACCUUCGGGCCUCACGCUAUUCGAGCGGCCGACGUCUGAUUAGCUAGUUGGUGAGGUAAAGGCUCACCAAGGCGACGAUCAGUAGCGGGUCUGAGAGGAUGAUCCGCAACACGGGGACUGCGACACGGCCCGGGCUCCUACGGGAGGCAGCAGUGGGGAAUUGUGGACAAUGGGCGCAAGCAUGAUCCAGCCAUGCCGCGUGUCUGAAGAAGGCCUUCGGGUUGUAAAGGACUUUUGUCCGGGAGCAAAUGCUGGUGGCUAACAUCCACCGGAGCUGAGAGUACCGGAAGAAUAAGCACCGGCUAACUACGUGCCAGCCGCCGCCGUAAGAC
rnacentral:rRNA from 1 species